rnacentral:lncRNA from 1 species
UUCUUUUGUAACUCUUCAUGUUCAUCGCUGUUUCAACGUGCAGAGCUGGACAAAGAUCGGCUCCAGGCGUGUAGUCAGCGUUGAUGGGCUCUGGAGAAGCCGUGUAUUCAGAUGUAUAGUUCUGGCUUUGCUGGCUAUCUUGAUUGAUGUAAUCUGCAGGGCGAUGUUCGCUCUUAGGCGGUUUCCGACGACUCGAGAUACCGGUGAUCAUCGUCCUGGAAGCGUUUAUUCUUACGCUAAAGCGUCGAUCGUUAUCUUAGCCGCGUCCGGGAAUUCUUUGGAGUCUGAAUAGACAUCUGCUCUGGGGCCGUGUGUGGUCAGAGACACGUUUCGGAUUUUACAAUCUUUAUAACAUACAUUCUUUAAUAGCAUGAGUUAUUUCUAACAUAUAUUACAUCUGUAUCUGUAUCUGUAUCUGUAUCUGUAAUCUCCAUGAUAAAGUCCUCCCGAAGGCCCGUGCCCUUGGCAGCAGCUCUCCCGCCGAUGCCCGAAGCCGCGGGCUGCAUCCUCACCGCUCCCGACAUCACCGCUACAGCCGCUCCCUGUACCCGCCCCGGAACGCGGCACUUCCCGCAGCCUCCCCGGCGCGCAGGGAGUUAACCGGGCCCGGGGCGGGGCGGUGCCGCCGCUGGCGGGAUGUGGUUCGGCCGGGAGCCCCGCAGCCCGCCCGGGAACAGCAAGCCGCUCUCCUCGUUUCCCAGAGGCGGAUCCCGCUGCCCCGGUAUAAGACAUACAUGGCUCCUGGUUCCUCAAAUAAGAAGAAAACUGAUGAUGGACAGGCUUCAAAGUAAGAUUGACAAAUGAAUUAUUUUGUCCAAGUUUACACUUAAAUUUCCUCCCCAAACUCAUUACACACUCAUUUAGUUUAAGAUAAAUUUUA